rnacentral:misc_RNA from 1 species
UCCGAGUUGACCCCGGCAGUCUCCCAUGAGUCCCCGGCAUAACCCGCUGGCAACAUGGGACGAGGGUUGCGCUCGUUGCGGGACUUAACCCAACAUCUCACGACACGAGCUGACGACAGCCAUGCACCACCUGUGAUGGUGUCCCGAAGGAAAGAUGUGUUUCCACACCGGUCACCAACAUGUCAAGCCCAGGUAAGGUUCUUCGCGUUGCGUCGAAUUAAACCACAUGCUCCGCUGCUUGUGCGGGUCCCCGUCAAUCCCUUUGAGUUUUAGCCUUGCGGCCGUACUCCCCAGGCGGGGCGCUUAAUGCGUUAGCUACGGCACAGAAUCAACCAACGUGACCCCACACCUAGCGCCCACCGUUUACAGCAUGGACUAC